AUGCUCUCUUUGACAGCACAUAUACUAAAAUUGGAACAAUACAGAGAAAAUUAGCAUGGCCCCUGAACAAGGAUGGCAUGCAAAUUCAUGAAGCAGUCCACAUUUUU